rnacentral:rRNA from 1 species
AUUGAACGCUGGCGGCAUGCUUUACACAUGCAAGUCGAACGGUAACAGGCCUUCGGGUGCUGACGAGUGGCGCACGGGUGAGUAAUGCAUCGGAACGUGCCCAGAGGUGGGGGAUAACGCAGCGAAAGCUGUGCUAAUACCGCAUGUGAUCUGAGGAUGAAAGCGGGGGACCAGGCAGCAAUGUUUGGCCUCGCGCCUUUGGAGCGGCCGAUGUCAGAUUAGGUAGUUGGUGGGGUAAAGGCCUACCAAGCCGACGAUCUGUAGCUGGUCUGAGAGGACGACCAGCCACACUGGGACUGAGACACGGCCCAGACUCCUACGGGAGGCAGCAGUGGGGAAUUUUGGACAAUGGGCGCAAGCCUGAUCCAGCAAUGCCGCGUGCGGGAAGAAGGCCUUCGGGUUGUAAACAGCUUUUGUACGGAACGAAAAGGCUCUGGCUAAUACCUGGGGCUGAUGACGGUACCGUAAGAAUAAGCACCGGCUAACUACGUG